CAGCAGAAGGCGCGGCGCAGUGGCUACCUGUGCUCCGAGCGCCCCCGCGGGAGCCGCGCUCUCCAGCAGCUCCAUCUGGCUCUCCUGCGCCACCGCCGCUACGGGAGGCGACUUGGACGUGUCGCUUUGGACCAUCGGCAAAAAGUCGACUCCAAGGCUGCGGGUCCCCUCCUCCACGACCCGGGUCCCCCGCUCCUCUUCGCCCCAGGAUCGGAGGCUCUCAGUGCGCGCGACGCCGCUGAAGCAUGUUGCAAAGCCUAGACUAGGCGGUGGCGCAGGCACGAGGCUGGGUGGCCGGGGCGAGGGGCGCCAGUUCUUUGGAGCUUCUGGGCCCGCGAGCGGCGGAGGCUGGGACUGCUGGGCGGGCUGGCUCCAGGGAAGGUCCCCGCCAGGAGGAGGGCGCUCCGGGAGCACGAGCCAGGGGGGAGGCGCGUCGGAAAGCGAGAGUGACAAACCACCGCCACUCCGAAAAGUUCUUCGCGGGAGGCGCGGGCCGCGUGGGCUCCGACUCAGCUGCGGCCCGUCGCCGUGGCACUCGCGCUGGAAAGUUUUCGAAGCCACGAAAGCCAGCCAGUCGCAGCUCCCUAGGGAGGUAACUGGCCCAGCUGCUCAGUUCACCUCCUCUUCCUGGAGUCCAGAGGAGGAAAAAGAUCCACAGGGUUAGACCCUAAACUGAAACUCUCCAUGAUUCGAAAAAGGCUACAGACAGACCCCGAACUUCUGCAAAAGCAUGAGUGAAAGCACUCGAGGAGUCAGAAAACAAGUGCCAGUGAUGAACUAAGACUUCCUCCCACAUGGUCCUGACCUGACAAUUGGUUCUACUACACCUGUGCCCUAGCUUUUUGGUUUGUGAUGGCCUGUUUUGUUUUUGUUGUCUUUGCUAGGAGCUUGUCUUUGCUAGCAGACUAUAUCGUUCCCGCCCCCAGCGCACCCCCUCCCCGCAGUUGAGAAGUCUUAGUGUAACCGUUGAGACAAAAAUAAGCAGGUUUUUAAGGACCCCGAAAUUCUUGGUAGCACUCACCGAGCAGAAACAAAGUAUAACAGUUGUGCAAGCUGAAAUACACACAGAGACCUUUUACUAAGCACCAGGCAGACGCUGCUUGAAGGCACCAGUUGGAGUCACCAUCUUUUAUCUUUAGGACUGAGUUACAGAAAUGCAAGAGACUCCUGCAGAACUAGACUUAUCAUUGGAUUGGAUGCAUUCAAAUGACUGAUUCCCCUAAGCUGCUGGUUCGUGUUCCUGAGCUCCUUAGUCUUUGAAAUGACGCAUAUUCUGGGCAUGCUCUGAAAUGAGAAAAGGGUCACUGGUAAGAACUCGGGCUGCCAAGGCAAUGAACAGUUUGAAAGGAUGUUUCUGUUCUACAAUGUGAAAGAAUCUACAAUGACCUCUCCUUUUCUAACUGAAGGCCUGUGACCCCAUUGCAAACCUUGAAGCCAUGCUCUUUGGAAAAGAGACUCACCGUGUGUGUGUGUGUGUGUGUGUGUUUGUGUGUGUGUGUGUGUGUGUGUGUGUGUGUGUGUGUGUGUGUGUGUGUGUGUGUUUGUGAUUUCUCAUUUCAUGGAGACCAUUUUUCACCUCACACUUCUGGAUCUCUGUCAUUCUGAAUAGCAUCUGCAUACAAUAGAUCUAUGUUGACCACCAUCCUAACUUACUAGGAUAAUUUCUGUGAAAACAAACAUGUGCUUUUCAUAAAACUAUAAUAUUAAAUGAGGGCCCUGAAUUACAAAAUGUUAUAUUAAAACAAAUAACCCCGCAAGCAUAUCCAGUAUAAAAGACUUGUAUAUAUAUACAUAGUGAAAGACCAAAACUAAAAUAGGCAAGUGGAAAAGGUAAAGUUUCUUCCUCUCCCUUAGAAAAGAUUCCCCAGAAUUUACAUUUCAUGAGUUCUUAGAUUUACCUCCCUGCCAAAAGUCAAAACACACUGAUUUCACAUCUGAUUGCCUUCAUACUCAGUCAUAUCAAACAACGCUUUAUACUCUUGUUUACAAAAGAAGUGUCAAGUCAAGUUCAGGACAUUAUUCUGCCUGCAUGGUAGACAUUAACUAUAUUAUAUGUUAAUGAGGUUAAAUGAGCCCUAAAUAUCUGAAGUACUAUAAAGAAAUGAUUCUUCUGAUAUUGGGGUACCACUCCAUUGAAAGUGGCUCUGCUUCUUGUUCAUGUGUGAGUGCCAGGACUUGAAUGACUGACUACUAAGAUAGCUUCUAGUUCAGCUCUCAGAAUUGCCGAUUUUAUUCUCAUCUGGGUGAGCAAGGAGGCUGGAAAAGGGUGAUAGAACAUGGGGUGGAUGGGGUAGAAGGUGAGGCAUGUAAGGUCAUAUUUGCUAGUCUUAGAAAGUCCUUAUGGCUUCCAUGUACACUAGCUAGAAUCCAGCCACAUGAAUAAGCUGAGAAGUGGGGUCCAGUUUUGCAUCUAAGGAGGACAGGAAGAGUGCACUUGAAGAGCUGGCAGUGACUGGCUUCCCCGGGCAAUAGUUACCUGGGGACAAAGUCAGACAUCAUCUGCCUUCUAAAUUUCAGCUCUCCACUUCUUUCUCAGUCAGCGGCUGUCUGCCUGCCAUACUUCAGCAUGUGCAGAGUAAGUUGAAGCAAAUUUGUAUAUUUUCACAUGUACUCUGUGAUAACUACAGCAACAUAAUUGGGGAUGAUGGGGAGAUGGCUCUGCAUACAGCCCUUGAUGCAUAAGCCAGCAGGACCUGAGUUUGGAUCCCCAGAACUAGGUAAGAUCACAGCAUGGUGGUGAGGAUUUGUAAUUCCAGUGUCUGGGACAAGGAAGGGCACAUUCCAGGACUUGAUAGCAAGCCAGUCUACGUGAAACAAUGAACUCCAGGUAUAAUGGGGUCUCUGCCUCAAAAUAUAAAGUGGGUGAGGGACAGGAGAGAUGGCUCUGUAUUCAAAAUGAAAAGCAGCUGCUGCUCUUGCAAUGGGCCCAGGUCCAGCUUCCAGUACCUACAUGACUGCUCACAACUGACCUUAAUUCUAACUCCAGGGAUCCAACACCCUCUUCUGGCCUCCUUGGACCCCAGCCACAGAUGUGGUCAUAUAAGGAAAAUACUCAGGUACAAACAAAAAGGAUCUGAUGAGAGAGAGAGAGAGAGAGAGAGAGAGAGAGAGAGAGAGAGAGAGAGAGAGGAGAGAAGAGAGAAGAGAGAGAAUAAGUAGGCCAGUGGCUCAGGAGGUAAAGUCAUUUGCCAAACAUAUCUGGCUACCUGCCCAUAUUUGACCUCCUAAAACCAUGUAAAGGUACAAAGAGAGACCUGAAUCAACAGUGGUACUCUGACUUCCACUCAUGAUGAUGAUGGUGGUGGUGGUGAUGAUGACAGAUUAAAAAA